AACGCGUCCUCAGACAGUGCCGAACAUCGCAAAUGCACAUCGGCUCCGGCAUUCUGUCGGGGUUCGAACCGUGUCCUAUGGUGAUUCUGCGAUUUCGCGACGCGGAGAAGAAGGGGAUUGAUUUCUUCAAAUGGCUCCAUAAGAGCUGCCCAUGUAUGUUGUCUGCCUUUGGGAAGAUGACCAAAAUUACUAGGGCGGCGUCAGAGGUUCCACACAU
rnacentral:snoRNA from 1 species